UAAUACAGAGGGGGCGAGCGUUGUUCGGAAUUAUUGGGCGUAAAGGGUGUGUAGGCGGUUUCGCAAGUCAGAGGUGAAAGCCCCCGGCUCAACCGGGGAAGUGCCUUUGAUACUGCGUGACUUGAGUGCAGGAGAGGAGAGUGGAAUUCCCAGUGUAGCGGUGAAAUGCGUAGAUAUUGGGAAGAACACCGGCGGCGAAGGCGGCUCUCUGGCCUGUUACUGACGCUGAGACACGAAAGCUAGGGGAGCAAACGGG
rnacentral:rRNA from 1 species